CUGAAAUGGAUUAAGCUAAUAAAAUGAUGGGUCAAAAAGUUUCCAAAAUAUAAACGAAUUAUGUUUUUAUUGGUUAAUUUUGUCACCUCUGAAUAACAUAACAUCUAACAAUUAUAAGAAAAUUUUACAUGGUAUAACAAUCAUAUACUAUGUAUUGUUAAAAAAAUACAUUUUAUUUAACUAUACUUCACUUUUCUAGCAUCUCUCUCAAUUUCGCUCGCCUCUCUUCUCUCUCUGUCCCUCUACCAUUGCCUUUCUCCUCUAUCGCUCUCUUCUCUCCCUCUCUCACCUCUCUCGCUCCUUUCUCUCUCUCACCUCUCUCUGUAUUUUAUAUUUCAUUGCAUGAUACUCCAUAGCAAAAUCAUACAAUUCAUUCAAUUGUAUUCUGCCAAAUACAGAGAAUAAAUACAUAGAAAAAAGAAGAAGAAAAAGAUACGACUAACAGCUGUACCAUCUAAUGAUUGUAUGAACAUAUUAUUUUGUAUCAGCAUGUAUGUAUCAUUUUAUAUCAGUAUGUUAUUUUGUACCGUAAAUAAAUACAAGU
rnacentral:lncRNA from 1 species